CCUCCGGGAGGCAGCAGUGAGGAAUAUUGGUCAAUGGGCGCGAGCCUGAACCAGCCAAGUCGCGUGAGGGAAGACGGUCCUAUGGAUUGUAAACCUCUUUUGUCGGGGAGCAAACGACGCCACGCGAGGCGUUCCGAGAGUAACCGAAGAAAAAGCAUCGGCGAACUCCGUGCCAGCAGCCGCGGUUAUACGGAGGAUGCGAGCGUUAUCCGGAUUUAUUUGGUUUAAAGGGGUAGCAGGCGGAAGAUCAAGUCAGCGGUAAAAUUGAGAGGCUCAACCUCUUCGAGCCGUUGAAACUGGUUUUCUUGAGUGAGCGAGAAGUAUGCGGAAUGCGUGGGGUAGCGGUGAAAUGCAUAGAUAUCACGCAGAACUCCGAUUGCGAAGGCAGCAUACCGGCGCUCAACUGACGCUCAUGCACGAAAGUGUGGGUAUCGAACAGGAUUAGAUACCCUUGUAGUC
rnacentral:rRNA from 1 species